UACAGAGGUCUCAAGCGUUGUUCGGAUUCAUUGGGCGUAAAGGGUGCGUAGGCGGCGCGGUAAGUCGGGAGUGAAAUCUCGGAGCUUAACUCCGAAACUGCAUUCGAUACUGCCGUGCUUGAGGACUGGAGAGGAGACUGGAAUUUACGGUGUAGCGGUGAAAUGCGUAGAUAUCGUAAGGAAGACCAGUGGCGAAGGCGGGUCUCUGGACAGUUCCUGACGCUGAGGCACGAAGGUCAGGGGAGCAAACGGG
rnacentral:rRNA from 1 species